CACGUAGGGUGCGAGCGUUGUCCGGAAUUAUUGGGCGUAAAGAGCUCGUAGGCGGUGUGUCGCGUCGGCCGUGAAAACCUGCAGCUUAACUGUGGGCUUGCGGUCGAUACGGGCAUCACUUGAGUUCGGCAGGGGAGACUGGAAUUCCUGGUGUAGCGGUGAAAUGCGCAGAUAUCAGGAGGAACACCGGUGGCGAAGGCGGGUCUCUGGGCCGUAACUGACGCUGAGGAGCGAAAGCGUGGGGAGCGAACAGG
rnacentral:rRNA from 1 species